UACGGGGGGGGCAAGCGUUGUUCGGAAUUACUGGGCGUAAAGGGCUCGUAGGCGGCCAACUAAGUCGGAUGUGAAAUCCCUAGGCUUAACCUGGGAACUGCAUCCGAUACUGGAUGGCUUGAAUCCGGGAGAGGGAUGCAGAAUUCCAGGUGUAGCGGUGAAAUGCGUAGAUAUCUGGAGGAAUACCGGUGGCGAAGGCGGCAUCCUGGACCGGCAUUGACGCUGAUGAGCGGAAGCUAGGGGAGCAAACGGG
rnacentral:rRNA from 1 species